CACUUUGUGCUUGAGAUGGAUUCGGUACGCAGCGUGGGGAAUGAUAGGACUGAAGAAGCAGCUCCAACAAUGACGACCUUUGACCCCUGAAAUGUGUACCAAAGACAGAGAGAAAGCAGGGGAGAAGAGGGAACACAGUUCUGACAUGUCACAAGACCACAGUGGAAAGAGUCAAAAUGGCGAACUCUGGAGAGACAUUAAAGGUUGCCUUCACAUCUGAUCGCCAAGCAGAAAAGUCCAAACUUUGGUUGAGACUCUGGAGUCAGUUUGGUGGAAAAUGCCUUGUGGGUUUCAGAACCACAACUGCAACACAUGUUUGGACUUAGAACAAGAAAACUACAGUUACACCCUGCUGCAGCAGCAACUGUUACAAUAAGGAUGAGCAGAAAAAUGAUAAUUCUAUUAAAAACGAAAAUGUUCAUAAUAAAAAGAGGGAUUAGAUGCAAGAUAUGAAGAUUAAAAGGCAGAAUUUACCAAGUCGACGAGGAUUCUUCCCAAAACACCUUGAUUCGCCCUGAGAGUGAGACAGAAGAGCCGCUGCUACACGUAUGCCUCCUGCAGCAAGUAGGAUCCCUCUGCGGAGCGUCGGCUAGAUUACAGAGGAUCCUUCUUUCUCCAGGGUUUAAUACAUUU